rnacentral:rRNA from 1 species
AGAGUUUGAUCCUGGCUCAGGACGAACGCUGGCGGCGUGCCUAAUACAUGCAAGUCGAGCGGGGUUGUCGGAGUGGAGUCCUUCGGGAUGAAGCACCGCCACCUAGCGGCGGACGGGUGAGUAACGCGUGGGUAACCUGCCCUAAAGCCCGGGAUAACACCGGGAAACUGGUGCUAACACCGGAUACCUUCCGAAGAGGGCAUCCUUUUUGGAAGAAAGGUUAACGCUUUAGGAUGGGCCCGCGUCCCAUUAGCUAGUUGGUGAGGUAACGGCUCACCAAGGCAGUGAUGGGUAGCCGGCCUGAGAGGGUGGACGGCCACACUGGGACUGAGACACGGCCCAGACUCCUACGGGAGGCAGCAGUAGGGAAUAUUGCGCAAUGGACGGAAGUCUGACGCAGCGACGCCGCGUGAGCGAUGAAGGUCUUCGGAUCGUAAAGCUCUGUCCUUGGGGAAGAAGGUCUUCGGACUUGACGGUACCCAAGAAGAAAGCCCCGGCUAACUACGUGCCAGCAGCCGCGGUAAU